AUCGGCAUACAAGUUGCUGCCAGGCGUGGAGGUCAACGAUGAGAUCACCAAGGCCAAGGACUCCGUGACGGCCAUUUUCAAGGCCGCCGAGGCCUACCUUAUCGCCAACCCGGAUGCCUACAACUAAAUCAGUUGAGAGGGAUUAUAUAUGAUUAUGCUUUCCCUAGUUUGAGUUUUGCAUGCUUUCUUCCUGAUCGAAUAAAGCUUCUCCAACCUCCAAGUAGUGACAGCAAGAGAGCUGACCAUGGUGUGGACUUGAGAAGUUUAAAAUUUUUGUAUUUGUAACAACUAUCAAAGGGUGUUAUUGUUUGAUGUUGCUGCUUGCUUGCGCACGUUCCUUGUCAUUUUGUACUAGAAUAAAAGGAGGUAUCUGAAACACAAACAUAACUCGUAUAUAUAUUUUGAAUUGGAAGUUUGUGGGCUGAGAAAUUCUUAUGUUUGCUUGACUGAACAUGAUUUCACUCGCUCUUUUCAAAUAGGAAGAGCUAUUUUGAAUGUACAAUCCAUUGUGUUUUUAUUUUUGGCAUCACAUUUGCCUCAAUUAGGGUUAUGCAGUUUGUUCGGAUGUAGCUUUUUUGACGAUUCGUCCAAUCCUCUCUCGUUGAGCUACUCGGAAUCUCUGUCCGCAAUCAUGACCCUUCUAUGCAUGCCUCAUAGCCCCAACAGCCACCAAAUCCUGCCUAUAAUAUGCCCUCAACUUCCUAGAACCCACUCCAUGAGCCCUCUCCGCUCAGGCUACUUGGAUUUAACCCACAAUUGCGGCCUAUGUACCAAGCUCCGACGGUGAUUCCGGUGAGCCCGGGUAAACCCAGAACAUGCCUUCUCGCCUAUUGAUACUACAAACUCUGGCGCAUGUUUUUCAGAUGCCACGCCUUCCCAUACCGUACAUACACAGACGCGAGCGCGACAUACAUGAACACUUUGCCAUGCCACCGCAUGUCUAACUCACCAAUCGCGCUACUCCGAGUUCAUGAAGCGAUUCUUGUGAGUGUUAGUGAAUUAAAUACCGUGCUCUUUGACGCAUGCCCCUCGUAUCCAAAAUUAUAUUUUUAUUGCAAUAGUUCUUCCAAAGUGUUCCUGAGAAAAAAAAAACAUGUUAGCUAGACAAAAUAAAAUAAUUACUUCACUGGUGGAAAAAAGGCCUUUGGUCGCGGUUCGCAACUGCCAUUAGUCGCGGUUGCGCAACCGCGACCAACUAAGCGCGACUAAAGCCCCCCACCUUUAGUCGCGGUUUCUUAAGAACCGCGACUAAAGGCCCGUCCACGUGGGCGCCAGGCGGCCGUCGGGGCGGAGGACCUUUAGUCGCGGUUCUUCUGGCCAACCGCGACUAAAGNAUUCUACGGUACUACAUACAUGCAUAUGAAUGUACAAUUUUAAACAAAUUUGAAAUUAGAACCAAAAAGAAUUCAAGAGGAAUAUACAAUAUAUAUUCAAUAUCAUCGGAUGACCAUAUACAAUUUUGAACAAGUUUCCAUACAUAAUUUAAUGCAUAUAAAGUUCUACGUCCUCGUAAUGGUGUUCUCCUUUAGGAUGGAGGACUUCCCUGCUGAACCAUCCAGCUAGUUCCUCUUGAAGUGGUCGGAAGCGAGCUUCUGGACUAAGCAUCAUCCGGAGGUUAUUCCUCCCCGCAUUGGUAUCACUCGGAACCCACUCAGAGGUGUAUCUCCGGAUCAUCUCACAGACAUAGUAUCCACAUAGAUUGGUCCCCGCUGGCUGAAUAUCCCCAGCAUUCUUAGGCUUUGACCUUUUGAAUUCUAGCUCUUUUUUGAAUUCACCGACCUUUGUAUCUACGAACCGUCUCCAAACCCUACGAGGCAAAGAAAAUUAAAUGAACAAGAGAGUUAUUAGUUACUUGAUAUUAGGAAAUGAACGAAAUAGGCCGAUCGAUAUAGAGCGCAAAUGAAUGAAAAUAAUUACUUCUGCAGCAUUCUUCUCAUGCCGCCCCAAAGCUUUGGAUCCAUAUUCAGAGAGUCGUGGACGAGACAUUCUGAGGUGUNNNNNNNNNNNNNNNNNNNNNNNNNNNNNNNNNNNNNNNNNNNNNNNNNNNNNNNNNNNNNNNNNNNNNNNNNNNNNNNNNNNNNNNNNNNNNNNNNNNNAAAUUUCUAAACUGACGCUUAUAUAGCCCCACCUUUAGUACCGGUUGGUGGCACCAACCGGGACCAAAGGUCUCUUUUCAGCAGCACAAAGGGCGGGAAGCAGAGCCAUUGGUACUGGUUGGUGGCACAAACCGGGAUCAAAGGUCUCUUUUCAGCAGCCCAAAGGGCGGGAAGCAGAGGCCUUUGGUCACGGUUGGUUGCACCAACCGUACCAAUUCCCCCCUUUAGUCCCGGUUGGUUCCACCAACCGGGACCAAAGGACUUGUGCGGUGCGGUGCUAUGUUUAGUCCCACCUCGCUAGCCGAGAGGGGCUCGGAGUGGUUUAUAAGCCAUGCCAAACCAACCACUUCGAGCUCCUCUCUACUACAGGCUUACAGGCCUAAAAUCACUCUCUGUGCUUGUGGGCCUAUUGGGCCUACUGCGGGCCUGCAUCCUGGCCCUAGUAAUGUGUUUCUAAUUACUUAUUUAUUUUCUAUUACGAUAAUUCUUUUUGCUAUUAAAGUUUGUAACAAAAUUCUAAUUACUUAUUUAUUUUAUUUUAUGNUAUUGGGCCUACUGCGGGCCUGCAUCCUGGCCCUAGUAAUGUGUUUCUAAUUACUUAUUUAUUUUCUAUUACGAUAAUUCUUUUUGCUAUUAAAGUUUGUAACAAAAUUCUAUAUAAUUUUAGUUUCGAUAAUACUAGAGGUUUAUAAAAGAUUUUUAGUUGAUUCCUUUUGCUGACUUCAUUUGUUAUUUUUCAUGCAUUUACUGAUUAUUUUGAGCUAUAAGACCAUGAAAUUGAAAGCAUUUGAAAUGAACUCUGAAAAGGUUCCAAGUUGGCAUGGUAUCAUCAUUUCACCAACAUAGUAUGUGCCAGAAAGUUGAGAGGGUUACGGCAAAAACUGGAUGCACUUCGUGUACAAAACGGACAAUCUCUUUGGAAGUAUCACGGUUUCAUAGGGAAACUCGUAUGUUACAAAGGGAUUUAAUUUUUUUGAACUUAUUUGAACUCCAUAGUUUUUCUGUGUUCAAAAUGCACCAUUCAAAGCCACGUCAUCAAUUUACAACCCUUUCUGACUUCAUUUCUUAUUUUUCAUGCAUUUACUGAUUAUUUUGAGCUAUAAGACCAUGAAAUUGAAAAGCAUUUGAAAUGAACUCUGAAAAGGUUCCAAGUUGGCAUGGUAUCAUCAUUUCACCCACAUAGCAUGUGCGAGAAAGUUGAGAGGGUUACGGCAAAAACUGGAUGCACUUCGUGUACAAAACGGACAAUCUCUUUGGAAGUAUCAGGGUUUCAUACGGAAACUCGUCUCUUACAAAGGGAUUUCAUUUUUUUGAACUUAUUUGAACUCCAUAGUUUUUUUGUGUUCAAAAUGCACCAUUCAAAGCCACAUCAUCAAUUUACAACCCUUUAUGACAUCAUUUGUAAUUUUUCAUGCAUUUACUGAUUAUUUUGAGCUAUAAGACCAUGAAAUUGAAAAGCAUUUGAAAUGAACUCUGAAAAGGUUCCAAGUUGNNNNNNNNNNNNNNNNNNNNNNNNNNNNNNNNNNNNNNNNNNNNNNNNNNNNNNNNNNNNNNNNNNNNNNNNNNNNNNNNNNNNNNNNNNNNNNNNNNNNAAGAGGAAUAUACAAUAUAUAUUCAAUAUCAUCGGAUGACCAUAUACAAUUUUGAACAAGUUUCCAUACAUAAUUUAAUGCAUAUAAAGUUCUGCGUCCUCGUAAUGGUGUUCUCCUUUAGGAUAGAGGACUUCCCUCCUGAACCAUCCAGCUAGUUCCUCUUGAAGUGGGCGGAAGCGAGCUUCUGGACUAAGCAUCACCCGGAGGUUAUUCCGCUGAGCAUUGGUAUCACUCGGAACCCGCUCAGAGGUGUAUCUCCGGAUCAUCUCACAGACAUAGUAUCCACAUAGAUUGGUCCCCGCUGGCUGAAUAUCCCCAGCAUUCUUAGGCUUUGACCUUUUGAAUUCUAGCUCUUUUUUGAAUUCACCGACCUUUGUAUCUACGAACCGUCUCCAAACCCUACGAGGCAAAGAAAAUUAAAUGAACAAGAGAGUUAUUAGUUACUUGAUAUUAGGAAAUGAACGAAAUAGGCCGAUCGAUAUAGAGCGCAAAUGAAUGAAAAUAAUUACUUCUGCAGCAUUCUUCUCAUGCCGCCCCAAAGCUUUGGAUCCAUAUUCAGAGAGUCGUGGACGAGACAUUCUGAGGUGUGAACUUUAAUUACUAGCAGAAUCCAGUGGAACCUGCGGACACGAUACAUGCACAGUACGUCAUGCAUAACUCAUCGAUUAGCCGGCCACAUACCAUGCAUGGAGUAAACAAAAGAGAAUGUGCUCAAGACAGAAACACUCACCCAAAAUGGUAAGGAAAGAAUAUCACUUUUGAGUUCCUGCUUUGUAAGAAACUGCCACAGGUCUGCCUCCAUGUCGGCGGGGUGAUGCUCCAACACAUAUCCAUUAACGAUGUGUGGGUCAAUGAACCCAACAUCAUGGAUGUUCCUUACUCUGCAUUCCUUAAUCUUCAUUCUGCAUGUAUAAUAGCGGACACAACAAUAUAGUUACGACAUAUAUAUAGUGCAGGCAAUAUGAACGAGAUGGGGUAGAAAUAAAUCACUUACAGAACGUAGCAACUGAUGAUAGAUUUGUCGAGCUCGCGCAGAUUGAAAAGCUGGAACAAUUCACUCAGAUGAAUUUGUACAUAGUAAUGUUUGAAGUGAUGCUCAUAUCUAACUUCCGCAUAAAUAUAUUCUUUGGCGUUUUUAUUUUUUAUGUAACCCUUGUACCAUUUCAGCAGACCUUUCAUUUGUGGAGGUAGAUCCUAUUCCUGCGCAGGCUCGACGAGAGGCCCAUUCUUCACAUAUGUAAUUACUACCUCCUUCACUGGCGCCUCAUCAAGGCCUAACAGUUCACGAAGAGUAAUACCUAAGUUGGCCGCUUGUUCUCUGGCACUCGUUACAGUCAAUCCAUGUGCUGCCGCAGCUGCUAUGAUAUCGGGGUCAUCCGGACCGGCGGCUUUCACUAUAAGCGGGGCAAUCGAUUGUUUACUUUGUUCCCCGAGUUGGGCAACUCGUUUCCCGCUUUUUUUACUUUCUAAUUCCGUUUUCUCGGCCUCCUCCAAGGCUUUGUUCUCCUGGUUCUCCGCCCGCUCUUUCUUCUCCUUCAACAUGAAUGCCUGCCUACGAAGUUCACGUGCAUAGUCGUCAGGCAGAUUCUUCGCGGCUUGGGACGGUGUGCUCAAAAAUGACUUAGCCCACUUCUUUUGCUCAUCAGAAAAUACUGGCUUGGGCUCGGGCUCUCUUUUCUUCUUGCAGUCCGCCUUCCAUUUCUCAUGAUCAGCAGCCGCGGCCGCGGCAGUUUCCUCGGCACUACGUUCCCAAGGCCUUGUGGGGAGAGGCUUCAGUGAUGGCUCCGGUACCUUUGUGGUCUUAGGUACAUAAGGGUCCGGGUUAAUAAUCCAGGACUGCUUCUGCUUCUUUGCCGGAGGUGGAUUGGGGGGCGGCAUCUGAUCACCCGCCGGACGAGGACUGGGGGGCGGCGUCUGAUCACCCGCCGGACGUUGUGGACUGGGGGGCGUCGGCUGACGUGACGGAGGUGUAGGUGAACCGCCACCACCACCACCGUCACCGCCACCACCACCACCGUAGGGGGGUGGACUUGUUGUCCUUGGCGCCUCGCCUGGAAACUUGAUAAACUUCUUUUGCCAUAGAAUGAAAUGGCGCUUGACAUCUCCAAGUCUUUUCUCCCCUUCAGGUGUAGCAAUGUCAAUCUCCAGGUCCUCAAACCCUUGGACUAUGUCCUCCACCGUGACACGAGCAUAGCCAUCUUGAAUGGGGUUGUUGUGGUGGAGUGCUCCAGGUAAACAUGGUAAAGCACUGCCGAUGGCUACCUUCAUGGACAUGUUCCCGAUAGGAUAAUACAGAUGACAUUCUUUCAUCUCCUUUAUAUCGUCCACGGGGUAGCGAGGAGGCUCCGGUGCAGUAAUUUCGACCACCAGAGGCUCCGGUGCAGUAAUUUCGACCACCAGAGGCUCCGGUGCAGUAAUUUCGAUCGUCGGUGCAUCUGCACCAGCUGGUGGGGCCUCCAUGGAAGCCACGCUGCUUCUCCGCUGCUGGCUUCCGAGAUCCGCUGGAUGAUCUUCAUGCUGCGCCCGAGCUACAUCUCUUUCGGCUAAUAGUACACUCACGGUUUUAUUCAUCACAUCCAUUUCCGAUGCCAACCGCGCCACAACAUCUGCUUCCCGAUCCAUCUUUCUCUUACGGCUUCUGUAACCGUACGGGUCAUCGUUCUGGGGGAACCCUAUUUUCCACGGAAUGUGCCCCAUGCCUCGUACACGUCCUCCGUGUUCAGGAUUCCCGAGGGCUUUUGUCAGCGCGUCGUUCUCUCUGUUGAACUUGAUCUUCCCCUCUUGAGCAUCCCUCAUUGCGUCAAUAAGGGCUUGGGUGGGUUUAAUUAAUUUGCCCCGGUAAACACACUCCCCUGUCUCCGGGUUCAGCGUUCCCCCAUGCCCGUACCACCAGCUUUUGGCCCUUGGGUCCCAUCCCUCCGUACCUGGACGGAUUCCUCGCGCCCUCAGCUCGUUCUCCAUCUUCUCCAACCUAGGCANNNNNNNNNNNNNNNNNNNNNNNNNNNNNNNNNNNNNNNNNNNNNNNNNNNNNNNNNNNNNNNNNNNNNNNNNNNNNNNNNNNNNNNNNNNNNNNNNNNNGCAGAUGAAUCGGCAAUGGAUGUACGUUAACCGACUCUCCGGCGAGUUCACUACGGGUUUGAAAGAUUUCCUCGUAGUGGCUAAUGCGAACAAGCGGGGGGGUUUUGUUAUCUGUCCAUGUGUUAACUGUAAGAAUCAGAAGGGUUACUCUUCCUCAAGAGAUGUUCACAUGCAUCUGCUUCGGCACGGUUUCAUGCCAAGCUAUAAUUGUUGGACCAAGCAUGGAGAAAGAGGGGUUAUAAUGGAAGAAGAUGAAGAAGGGGAUGAUUUCAUCGAUGAAAGCUAUCUUGCUCAUUUCGGUGAUACUUUCAUGGAGGAUGCUGAAGGUGAAGGGGAAGGUGAAGNNNNNNNNNNNNNNNNNNNNNNNNNNNNNNNNNNNNNNNNNNNNNNNNNNNUUGAUGAUCUUGGUCGGACCAUUGCUGAUGCACGGAGACGCUGCGAAACUGAAAAGGAGAGGGAGAAUUUGGAUCGCAUGUUAGAGGAUCACAGAAAGGCGCUGUACCCCGGAUGCGAUGAUGGUCUGAAAAAGCUGGGCUGCACACUGGAUUUGCUGAAAUGGAAGGCAGAGGCAGGUGUAGCUGACUCGGCAUUUGAAAACUUGCUGAAAAUGUUGAAGAAUAUGUUUCCAAAGGAUAACGAGUUGCCCACCAGUACGUACGAAGCAAAGAAGGUUGUCUGCCCUCUAGGUUUAGAGGUUCUGAAGAUACAUGCAUGCAUNNNNNNNNNNNNNNNNNNNNNNNNNNNNNNNNNNNNNNNNNNNNNNNNNNNNNNNNNNNNNNNNNNNNNNNNNNNNNNNNNNNNNNNNNNNNNNNNNNNNUUUUUUGAACUUAUUUGAACUCCAUGCUUUUUGUGUGUUCAAAAUGCACCAUUCAAAGGCACAUCACAAAGUUUCAACAGUUUCUGACUUCAUUUGGUAUAUAUUUCGUGCAUUUACUUAUUUUUUUUGAGCUAGUUGACCCUGAAAUUGAAAAACACUACAAAUGAACUCUGGAAAUGUUGAAAGUUGGCAUGCUAUCGUCAUUUCACCCACAUAGCAUGUGUUAAAAAGUUGAGAGGGCUACGACAAAAACUGGAUGCAGUUCGUGUACAAAACUGACAAUCUCUCUCGAAGUAGCAGGGUUUCGAACGAGAACUUAUCUCUUACAAAGGGAUUUCAUUUUUUUAAACUUAUUUGAACUCCAUACUUUUUGUGUGUUCAAAAUGCACCAUUCAAAGGCAAAUCACAAAAUUUCAACAAUUUCUGACUUCAUUUGGUAUAUUUCGUGCAUUUACUUNNNUUUUUUUGAGCUAGUUGACCCUGAAAUUGAAAAGCACUACAAAUGAACUCUGAAAAUUUUGAAAGUUGGCAUGCUAUCAUCAUUUCACCCACAUAGCAUGUGUUAAAAAGUUCAGAGGGCUACGACAAAAACUGGAUGCAGUUCGUGUACGAAACUGACAAUCUCUUUGGAAGUAGGAGGGUUUCGAACGAGAACUCAUCUCUUACAAAGGGAUUUCAUUUUUUUUAAACUUAUUUGAACUCCAUACUUUUUGUGUGUUCAAAAUGCACCAUUCAAAGGCACAUCANNNNNNNNNNNNNNNNNNNNNNNNNNNNNNNNNNNNNNNNNNNNNNNNNNNNNNNNNNNNNNNNNNNNNNNNNNNNNNNNNNNNNNNNNNNNNNNNNNNNAAGGGGUGGGAGAGGGUGUCGCGGUAGAGCGCGAGACGGGGCGGCAGACGACGGCGUCACGGAGAGGGAGACCCGGGACCAUACUUUUUUUCUCAUCACUGCCGUGUGUACUAACCACACGAGUAUGAGACCCGGGACUGUGCAGGUGCAUCGAGAAAUCUUAGGGCUCGACAAUAUGUUUUCUCUUCGUGGGAUGCUAGCGGUCGCAUCAACUGAGCGUUUUCUUCCCGACGUCUUCUAUUCUCAAGAUGAAGUGAUGACCUCCGGGGGGUUUCUUUGUUCUUGCAUAGUCUUCCCGACGGCUGUGGCUGAAUAUCCGACACAUGAAAAAGUUUUAACUAGAGUUUUUGACCGUGAACCUGCUGCUUCAGCUUUGCACUGGCCGACCGCCGAUUCGCUGGUUCAUUUGCUAGUUUUUAAUCAUAAAAGAAAAUACUUUCUUUGUUCCUAAAUAAUUGUAGUUAAAAAAACUAGACUAUCUUUUUUUGACUAUAAUUAUUUAAAAACGGAGGGAGUAAAUAUUAUGUAAGUAUCUCAUUAUUAAAAGAGGAGUUGGUUCCGUUGCCUCUCCUACUCCCUUUGUUUUUUCGUCCCAUGACUCCCUCUCUUCUUAACCAAAAUAGAUAGUCUUAAACUCAACCAAAAAUGGUGAACUUUUCCAAAUUCGCUAAUUUUUUUCAAUUUAGAUUGAUUAAUUAUUUAAAUUGAUGAUUUUUUAACUCGAUGAUCUUUUUUAUAUUCGAUGAAACUUUUUCAUAUUUGAUAGUCUCUGUUCUUUUUCAUAUUCGAUGAAACUUUUUAUAUUCGAUGAAACUUUUAAAUAGAUAGUCUCUGUUCUUUUUCUUCCAAGACGUUCUUCCAAGACGUUCUUUUUCUUCCAAGACGUUCUUCCAAGACGUUCUUUNUUUUCAUAUUCGAUGAAACUUUUUAUAUUCGAUGAAACUUUUAAAUUGAUAGUCUCUGUUCUUUUUCUUCCAAGACGUUCUUCCAAGACGUUCUUUUUCUUCCAAGACGUUCUUCCAAGACGUUCUUUUUCUUCCAAGACGUUCUUCCAAGACGUUCUUCCAAGACGUUCUUUUUCUUCCAAGACGUUCUUCCAAGACGUUCUUUUUCUUCNNNNNNNNNNNNNNNNNNNNNNNNNNNNNNNNNNNNNNNNNNNNNNNNNNNNNNNNNNNNNNNNNNNNNNNNNNNNNNNNNNNNNNNNNNNNNNNNNNNNUGUAGAUGCAUAGAGUCACGGGCCAGGUGCUAUGGCUGGAGCUCUGCUCGCCAAAAGGAUUCAUGCCAUCUGUACUUAGACCAAAUCUUAUGUUCCUUGCGUCAGCUGCAAAAUCUUUGAACUCUCUGUCGAUCUUUCUCCAUUGCGUUCCAUCUGCGGUGUGUCUCAACUCCCCGUCCGACUUACGGUCCUCUUUGUGCCAUCGCAACAACUUGGCAUGCUCUUUGUUCCUGAACAAACGUUUCAACCGUGGUAUUAUAGGAGCAUACCACAUCACCUUGGCGGGAACCCUCUUCCUGGGUUUCUCGCCCUCAACAUCGUCACCAGGGUCAUCGCCUCUGAUCUUAUAACGCAAUGCAGUGCAUACAGGGCAUUCAUUCAAAUUCUCGUAUUCACCGCGGUAGAGGAUGCAGUCGUUGAUGCAUGCAUGUAUCUUCAGAACCUCUAAACCUAGAGGGCAUACAACCUUCUUUGCUUCGUACGUACUGGCGGGCAACUCGUUAUUCUUUGGAAACAUAUUCUUCAACAUUUUCAGCAAGUUUUCAAAUGCCGAGUCAGCUACACCUGCCUGUGCCUUCCAUUUCAGCAAAUCCAGUGUGCAGCCCAGCUUUUUCAGACCAUCAUCGCAUCCGGGGUACAACGACUUUCUGUGAUCCUCUAACAUGCGAUCCAAAUUCUCCCUCUCCUUUUCAGUUUCGCAGCGUCUCCGUGCAUCAGCAAUGGUCCGACCAAGAUCAUCAAUGGUCUCAUCACGUGCCUCUUCUUCACCUUCACCUUCCCCUUCACCUUCCCCUUCACCUUCAGCAUCCUCCAUGAAAGUAUCACCGAAAUGAGCAAGAUAGCUUUCAUCGAUGAAAUCAUCCCCUUCUUCAUCUUCUUCCAUUAUAACCCCUCUUUCUCCAUGCUUGGUCCAACAAUUAUAGCUUGGCAUGAAACCGUGCCGAAGCAGGUGCAGGUGAACUUCUCUUGAGGAAGAGUAACCCUUCUGAUUCUUACAGUCAACACAUGGACAGAUAACAAAACCCUUCUGCUUGUUCGCAUUAGCCACUACGAGGAAAUCUUUCAAACCCGUAGUGAACUCGCGGGAGAGUCGGUUACCGUACAUCCAUUGCCGAUUCAUCUGCAUUAUUAUAAUNNNNNNNNNNNNNNNNNNNNNNNNNNNNNNNNNNNNNNNNNNNNNNNNNNNNNNNNNNNNNNNNNNNNNNNNNNNNNNNNNNNNNNNNNNNNNNNNNNNNCAAAUACCUCAGCACCAGUGCGUUCCGCAGGCUUCGGCCGGUGAUCUGCCUUGCCGUUGUAAUGCUUGCCCUUCUUUCUUACUGGAUGAAUUUUCGGAAGAAAUCGACGAUGCCCAAGGUACACGUUCUUCUUACAAUUUGGGAAAUGUACACUUUCAGUCUCAUGUAAGCAGUGCGUGCAUGCAUUGUAUCCCUUAUUUGACAGUCCCGAAAGGUUACUAAGAGCAGGCCAAUCGUUGAUGGUUACGAAAAGCAACGCUCGUAGGUCAAAUUCCUCUUCUUUGUGCUCAUCCCACACACGGACACCAGGUCUGCCCCACAGCUGUAAAAGUUCAUCAACUAAUGGCCUUAGGUACACAUCGAUGUCGUUGCCGGGUUGCUUCGGACCUUGGAUGAGCACUGGCAUCAUAAUGAACUUCCGCUUCAUGCACAACCAAGGAGGAAGGUUGUAGAUGCAUAGAGUCACGGGCCAGGUGCUAUGGCUGGAGCUCUGCUCGCCAAAAGGAUUCAUGCCAUCUGUACUUAGACCAAAUCUUAUGUUCCUUGCGUCAGCUGCAAAAUCUUUGAACUCUCUGUCGAUCUUUCUCCAUUGCGUUCCAUCUGCGGUGUGUCUCAACUCNGUACUUAGAGCAAAUCUUAUGUUCCUUGCGUCAGCUGCAAAAUCUUUGAACCAUCUGUCGAUCUUUCUCCAUUGCGUUCCAUCUGCGGUGUGUCUCAACUCCCCGUCCGACUUACGGUCCUCUUUGUGCCAUCGCAACAACUUGGCAUGCUCUUUGUUCCUGAACAGACGUUUCAACCGAGGUAUUAUAGGAGCAUACCACAUCACCUUGGUGGGAACCCUCUUCCUGGGUUUCUGGCCCUCAACAUCGUCACCAGGGUCAUCGCCUCUGAUCUUAUAACGCAAUGCAGUGCAUACCGGGCAUUCAUUCAAAUUCUCGUAUUCACCGCGGUAGAGGAUGCAGUCNGUACUUAGACCAAAUCUUAUGUUCCUUGCGUCAGCUGCAAAAUCUUUGAACUCUCUGUCGAUCUUUCUCCAUUGCGUUCCAUCUGCGGUGUGUCUCAACUCCCCGUCCGACUUACGGUCCUCUUUGUGCCAUCGCAACAACUUGGCAUGCUCUUUGUUCCUGAAUAGACGUUUCAACCGUGGUAUUAUAGGAGCAUACCACAUCACCUUGGCGGGAACCCUCUUCCUGGGUUUCUCGCCCUCAACAUCGUCACCAGGGUCAUCGCCUCUGAUCUUAUAACGCAAUGCAGUGCAUACAGGGCAUUCAUUCAAAUUCUCGUAUUCACCGCGGUAGAGGAUGCAGUCGUUGAUGCAUGCAUGUAUCUUCAGAACCUCUAAACCUAGAGGGCAGACAACCUUCUUUGCUUCGUACGUACUGGCGGGCAACUCGUUAUCCUUUGGAAACAUAUUCUUCAACAUUUUCAGCAAGUUUUCAAAUGCCGAGUCAGCUACACCUGCCUCUGCCUUCCAUUUCAGCAAAUCCAGUGUGCAGCCCAGCUUUUUCAGACCAUCAUCGCAUCCGGGGUACAGCGCCUUUCUGUGAUCCUCUAACAUGCGAUCCAAAUUCUCCCUCUCCUUUUCAGUUUCGCAGCGUCUCCGUGCAUNCAGCAAGUUUUCAAAUGCCGAGUCAGCUACACCUGCCUGUGCCUUCCAUUUCAGCAAAUCCAGUGUGCAGCCCAGCUUUUUCAGACCAUCAUCGCAUCCGGGGUACAACGACUUUCUGUGAUCCUCUAACAUGCGAUCCAAAUUCUCCCUCUCCUUUUCAGUUUCGCAGCGUCUCCGUGCAUCAGCAAUGGUCCGACCAAGAUCAUCAACGGGAUCAUCACGUGCCUCUUCUUCACCUUCCCCUUCACCUUCAGCAUCCUCCAUGAAAGUAUCACCGAAAUGAGCAAGAUAGCUUUCAUCGAUGAAAUCAUCCCCUUCUUCAUCUUCUUCCAUUAUAACCCCUCUUUCUCCAUGCUUGGUCCAACAAUUAUAGCUUGGCAUGAAACCGUGCCGAAGCAGAUGCAUGUGAACAUCUCUUGAGGAAGAGUAACCCUUCUGAUUCUUACAGUUAACACAUGGACAGAUAACAAAACCCCCCCGCUUGUUCGCAUUAGCCACUACGAGGAAAUCUUUCAAACCCGUAGUGAACUCGCCGGAGAGUCGGUUAACGUACAUCCAUUGCCGAUUCAUCUGCAUUAUUAUAAUAUANGGUCUCAUCACGUGCCUCUUCUUCACCUUCACCUUCCCCUUCACCUUCCCCUUCACCUUCCCCUUCACCUUCAGCAUCCUCCAUGAAAGUAUCACCGAAAUGAGCAAGAUAGCUUUCAUCGAUGAAAUCAUCCCCUUCUUCAUCUUCUUCCAUUAUAACCCCUCUUUCUCCAUGCUUGGUCCAACAAUUAUAGCUUGGCAUGAAACCGUGCCGAAGCAGAUGCAUGUGAACAUCUCUUGAGGAAGAGUAACCCUUCUGAUUCUUACAGUUAACACAUGGACAGAUAACAAAACCCCCCCGCUUGUUCGCAUUAGCCACUACGAGGAAAUCUUUCAAACCCGUAGUGAACUCGCCGGAGAGUCGGUUAACGUACAUCCAUUGCCGAUUCAUCUGCAUUAUUAUAAUAUAAAAUAUAUAAUUAACCAUCAUGCAUUUGUUAAACUAACUAGCUACAAACAAUAUAAAUUAAACAAUGAACUACACACAUGCAUAUUUUAUCAAUGACACAUCAAAGGUUCAUCAAGUUGCUAACCGCGAUCGAGGAGUGUGGCUCCAACACUUCAUGUCAUGUUUGUUUCAUGCUCUUGGGGCAUUUCAUCAAACACCUUAUGUGCAUAAGAGGAACCAAAAGCAANUCGCAUUAGCCACUACGAGGAAAUCUUUCAAACCCGUAGUGAACUCGCGGGAGAGUCGGUUACCGUACAUCCAUUGCCGAUUCAUCUGCAUUAUUAUAAUAUAAAAUAUAUAAUUAACCAUCAUGCAUUUGUUAAACUAACUAGCUACAAACAAUAUAAAUUAAACAAUGAACUACACACAUGCAUAUUUUAUCAAUGACACACAUGCAUGAAAGGUUCAAGUUGCUAACCGCGAUCGAGGAGGAAAAAAUAAAUGACGAACCUCAAGUGUGGCUCCAACACUUCAUAUCAUGUUUGUUUCACGCUCUUGGGGCAUUUCAUCAAACACCUUGUGUGCAUAAGAGGAACCAAAAGCAAACCUACACCCCCUUGUGAAGCUUGUGAAGAGAAGUGGCACCAAAUGGCUAAGUGAGUGUGCUGAACUGGUAUAUAUAGGGGAGGAGAUUUAGUCGCGGUUGGCAUGGCCAACCGCGACUAAAGGCCUUUGGGCACCUUUAGUCACGGUUGGCCUGGCCAACCGCGACUAAAGCCCCUCACGUGCACCAGCUGGCCACCGAGCGCCCUGGCCCAGGCCUUUGGUCGCGGUUCGUCUGCCGAACCGCGACUAAAGAAAUCAUUAGUCGCGGUUCCUACAGUUUCGCGACUUAUGGGGCUGGACGGAAGCCUCUUUUUCUACCAGUGUACUAUGUGUUAUGACCCGGCAACCCCGGAGUGACAAUAGCCGGAACCACUCCCGGAGAUGACCGUAGUAUGAGGAGUUCAUGUAUUCACCAAGUGUUAAUGCGUUGGUCCGGUUCUUUAUUAAAAGGAGAACCUUAAUAUCCCGUAGUUUCCAUUAGGACCCCGCUGCCACGGGAGGGAUGAACAAUAGAUGCCAUGCAAGUUCUUUCCCUAAGCAUGUAUGACUACAUACGGAAUACAUGCCUACAUUAGAUUGAUGAACGGGAGCUAGUUACUUAUCUCUCCAUGUUAUAGUUGUAACAUGAUGAAUCACAUCCGGCAUAAUCAUCCAUCACCGAUCCAAUGCCUACAAGUCUUUUACUACCGGUCCUUGCUACGUUAUUUUGUUGCUGCUGUUACUUUGCUGCUACUACUGUUACUCUGCUGCUACUGGUUACUGUUGCUACUGCUGCUAUCAUACUACCUUGCUACUGAUACUUUGUUGCAAACACUAAAUCUUUCAAGUGUGGUUGAAUUGACAACUCAACUGCUAAUACUUGAGAAUAUUCUUUCGCUUCCCCUUGAGUCGAAUCAAUAAAUUUGGGUUGAAUACUCUACCCUCGAAAACUGUUGCGAUCCCCUAGACUUGUGGGUUAUCACUGCCCAUCCCCUGCAGUAUGAUAAGGUCAAGACAUUAGAUAUUUGAAGAAACUUGAAGGCAAAAGCUAAAAAAAGAGUAAAUGUACUUACCUAUCCCCUUCAGGCUUAAUCACCGGCCUCUGCUUGCCGGUAGCCGGCACGACCGGGAGACGUGUACUACCAUGCUUGUACACGGUGGCCCCGUCCACCUACACAUCGCCCUCACUAGCCGUAAACUCAUCCCCGCCAUCAACAGAACAGCCACCCGGACACUCGGUCCAAUCCGGCACCUUGGACCGAUCCGGCCAGACACCCCAUUCGGACCUCUCCAAGUCGGCCGAAGCGUGAGAGGCAGGAGUCUCCUGGGACGUAGCCUCAGGAACCGGAGUCUCGUGGGCCGAAGGCACCUCGACCCGAGACUGAUCCUGGACCGGAGUCUCAUGGGCCGAAUGCCUGUCCACCCGAGGCUCUUGGACCGGAGUCCCUGUAGCCUCCUCCUCAAACGGGUCCACCAUAGUAGUCCUGUGCUCGGGUGAAUGAGCUGGUGGUGGUGGCGAGGACGACGCAACAGUCCGCCUACCUCUUCCUCGGCCACCACCUCUCCUUGUAACCUUCCCCUUCUUCCCUACCCGACCAGCACCUCUCCCAGUGGGCAAUGCCACCGACAAAGAAGUACCCACGGGUGGUGUCGUCAGACUGUCUUCCAAGGCUCUAUGGAGAGAUAGGGGUGGAAUGGAAGUACCACCCCUCGUGCGGGCUCCCGAAGAAGAACCCGUCGAGCGACCUGGACCCGCGCCCACCAUCUUUCAACACCUGCUGACCUGUCAUGAUAAAGAUUAAGAGAAAUUAGUACAACAUAAAAAAUUGAAAAGCUAAGAACUAAAUAACAACUACAAUAACAUCAACCACUACUACAACAACUACAAUAACAACUACAACAACUACUACAACAAUCCCUAGCACUGCCCACGUCGGUUAGCUUCUUUAGCCUGGUUGUGUAAACCAAGUUGGAUGGGAGCAAUAUAUAUGCACACACACUAGAUGAUAGGUAGGUACAAGUAAAUGUGAUAAAAACAUAGCAACAAGGUGGAUGGUGUGUAGGCAUAGCAAUAAGAUGAAUUAUUUAUUUAACUUGCUAUUAAAUGAACUAUACUAGCGUUGGACAAAUUGCACAUCCACUCCUCCUACAAAGUGAGGUUGUUGUACUCCACUAGAUAUUAAGAUCAAAUAAAAAUAUACAAGGAAGUAAUUUUAUUUAGCUACAAAUUUUUGUGUCAAAAUAUUUUUGAAGCCAAUAUACCACAUCUUGUUAUGUAUUGAAUACAUAUAAUCGAGAAAAUCAAUUGAUGAGUGAUGUUGUGAUACAAAAUGAACAUGUAAAGAGUAUCAUCUUUUAUAAUUAGAGCCCAUGGUAGCGAUGGUCUAAAGAUGUUUAGUACAAUGAUGACGAUAUGGUGGACGUGCUCCAUUGACUAAAAGGGAGCACACUGAAUUUACUUUAUGGAUUUUUUAGCUACCUUGAAUAAAAGAGAGUCCUCCAAAAUUAAUUCAUUGGCUAGAAUGAAUGUUCAUGCUAUUCUUGAAAAAUGUUCCUUACAAUAAAUGAGUUUUUUGUCAUAAUUAAACUAUACAUGGUUAUAAUACAUACUAAUAAUAUCAAUAAAUCGCAACAUAUUCCGUAUAACCAAAUCUCAACAAAAUAUAUAUACUGCAAUAAAUUCCAAAAUAUAUAUAUAGUACAUUCAUUGCAAGAAAACUCAACAAAAUGUUGGAAUUAAAAUUUAUUUAUUGAUUCAUAUAUAGGGGUGGGGUGUGGGGGCUCACCAGCAGGGGCGGCUGUGGCGUCGUGGGCGGCGGGGCCGGGGGUNAGUUGCGGUUGGCCUGGCAAACCGUGACUAAAGGUGCCCGAAGGCCUUUAGUCGCGGUUGUCCUGGCCAACCGCGACUAAAGCCCCUCACGUGCACCAGCUGGCCACCGAGCGCCCUGGGCCCAGGCCUUUGGUCGCGGUUCACCUCCAGAACCGCGACUAAAGGUCCCAUUAGUCGCGGUUCCUACAGCUUCGCGACUUAUGGGGCUGGACGGAAGCCUGUUUUUCCACCAGUGCUUGUUGUCUACUUUGUACUAAAUUAUCUAUGUGCCAAAGUUUCAUGACCAUACUAUGACAUGGGGGAGCUCAGGACAGAAAACAUAAAAAAAACCUUUCUCGAUUUUUUUCAUUUUUUUUUAUUUUUUGUGUCCAGAUCUCUCUUGAUGUCAUAUCGUCAUAAAAUUUUGAAGACACAUAGAAAACUUUUCAUCUUUCAUGGACUUAUAUAUUCUUUUUUCAAAAGUUUGCUAUGUUGUUUUGAUUGUACUGUUUGCCCAUAGAAGCAGAUGAGCUCGACCACUGAAACUACCACCUUCCCUAACCAUUUCUUGAAUAAAACUCUUAAUUCCAUGGGAAAUGCAAUUCGGCUAUGUUAAGAAAAUCCUAACAAAAAUGUUAUGUUUUCUUUGUCACAUCCAAAUGCUACCUGGAAAUUUUUAGGCCAAAAGGUUAAGUAUUUUAGCCUGUGCAAAAUAAAAAAAUUAAGCAUCAAUUGUUACCCCAAAAUUUCACACCCAAUUUUUUCCCCGACGAAACACCACUGCUCCGUUUCGGAUGAAAAUUGUCAGGCAUGCUAAUUGAGACAGUAACACGAACAUCUACCAAAAAAUCCAGAGUUUUUAAAAGUAUUUACAAUUAUUUCUUGAAUUACUAUUCAUCCGGGUGCAAAUGCACCCAGGAGUCAAGACACCUCUGCCUCAAGUCCAUGUACAAUGCAAGGUGCUAGUUAGUUGCUUGAAAAAUAAAAUAAAAAAAAUUAAGAACCCGUUUUCGUUUUUAUAGCAGACGUGCGUAAAUAAACACAUGCCCUAUAAUACAAAUAAAAUAAAAUAAACAUCGCUGCUUAAAAAAAAAUUCAUUUCCACAUGCAGGCAUCUCUUUAAUCAGCCUGCAUUGUACAUGAUCAAAGAUGAUAAAGCGUGAUAUACAAUGGUUUUGCUUAAAAAAAAACUAACGUGUGUUUUGCCAGUACAUGCGGCGCCCAAACUAUGAUUACAAAGGAAUGCAACCCAACAUCUGAACUAGCGGAUUUAUGCGUAAUGAUACAGGCAUUUGUUAAUGGGUAAUGCAGCUGGCUAAUCACCAACCACUAGAAUAAUUUUUCCACGCGGACAAAAGCUCAAGCUUUCACAGCCAGCAAUGAUAAAAGGUUAGCCGACCGACGGUGCCAUCCAAUUUGGAAAAACUCAUGCCUGGCUUUGGAGCCUUCCCCAGUCUCCACUGACCAAACCCAUCCGACUAAGCUUCACCAACCCCGGCGCCGGUUUUGAGCCCCUAUUUAUAACGCUCACUUCUGCUCUCCAGGAAACCAACGAACGUUGCGCCAUUACAACAGUCACAACUCACAUCCCUUAUAUCGGUUGUGCGAGUUUGAUCAUCACAGCAAUCAAUGGCCUCCACCAACAGUUGGACCCAUGAGAUUGAGUCGUCGGUCUCUGCAUCGCGCAUCUUCCGUGCCGGUGUCAUGGACUGGCACACCCUGGCCCCCAAACUCGCGCCACAGAUCGUCACCAGCGCCCACCCUGUUGAGGGAGAAGGCGGCAUCGACAGUGUCAGGCAGUUCAACUUCACCUCAGGUAUGCAUCAUAUAUAUACAACUCAUAUCACUUGCAGUCUGGUACACAUGGUCAAAGCAUAACACAUAGUUGAUCUUCCAGCCAUGCCCUUCAACCUCAUGAAGGAGAGGCUCGAGUUCAUUGACGUGGACAAGUGCGAGUGCAAGUCCACCCUCAUCGAGGGUGGUGGCAUAGGCACGGCGAUAGAGUCGGCCACCUCGCAGAUCAAGGUGGAGCCGACAACCAACGGUGGGAGCUUAGUGAAGGUGGAAUCGACAUACAAGCUGCUGCCAGGCGUGGAGGUGAACGAUGAGAUCUCCAAGGCCAAGGACUUUGUGACGGCCAUUUUCAAGGCUGCCGAGGCCUACCUUAUCGCCAACCCGGAUGCCUAUAACUAAAUCAGUUGAGAGAGAUCAUAUAUGAUUAUACAUUCCCUAGUUUGAUUUUUGCGUGCUUUCUUCCCGAUCUAAUAAAGUUUCUCCAACUUCCAAGUAGCGAAAGCAAGAGAGAUGACGACGGUGUGGACUAGAGAAGUCUAAAAUGUUUGUAUUUGUAACAAUUAUCAAUGGGUGUUGUUGUUUGAUGGUGUUGCUGCUUGCUUGCGCACGUUCCUCAUGUUUUUGUACUGGAAUAAAAAGAAUUAUUUGAAACAUAUAAAGAGCUUAUA
rnacentral:lncRNA from 1 species